rnacentral:rRNA from 1 species
AUUGAACGCUGGCGGCAGGCCUAACACAUGCAAGUCGAACGAGUGGCGGACGGGUGAGUAAUGUCUGGGAAACUGCCUGAUGGGGGGGGAUAACUACUGGAAACGGUAGCUAAUACCGCAUACCCUAGUAUGUGCCCAGGUGGGAUUAGCUAGUAGGUGGGGUAACGGCUCACCUAGGCGACGAUCCCUAGCUGGUCUGAGCGGAUGCGCAGCCACAGUGGAGAGGAGACACGGUCCAGACUACUACGGGAGGCAGCAGUGGAAUAUUGCACAAUGGGCGCAAGCCUGAUGCAGCCAUGCCGCGUGUAUGAAGAAGGCCUUCGGGUUGUAAAGUACUUUCAGCGGGGAGGCGUUACCCGCAGAAGAAGCACCGGCUAACUCCGUGCCAGCAGCCGCGGUAAUUC